GACGUAGGUGGCGAACGUUAUCCGGAAUUAUUGGGCGUAAAGGGUGCGUAGGCGGCAUGAUAAGUUAUUGGCGGCAAAUCGAGGCUCAACCUCGUGGAAACUGAUAAUACUGUCUUGCUUGAGUGCAGAAGAGGUUAACGGAACUCCAUGUGGAGCGGUAAAAUGUGUAGAUAUAUGGAAGAACAUCAAUAACGGCGAAGGCAGUUAACUAUUCUGUUACUGACGUUGAGGCACGAAAGCGCGGGAAGCAAACAGG
rnacentral:rRNA from 1 species